UACGUAGGUGGCAAGCGUUGUCCGGAUUUAUUGGGUUUAAAGGGUGCGUAGGCGGCUUUGUAAGUCAGUGGUGAAAUAUGGCAGCUCAACUGUCAAGGUGCCAUUGAUACUGCGGAGCUUGAGUACAGAUGAGGUAGGCGGAAUUGACGGUGUAGCGGUGAAAUGCUUAGAUAUCGAGAGGAACACCUGCGGCGAAGGCGGGUUGCUGGGCUGACACUGACGCUGAAGCGCGAAAGCUAGGGGAGCGAACGGG
rnacentral:rRNA from 1 species